rnacentral:lncRNA from 1 species
CAAAGAUGUAAAACUUAAAAAAAACACAUUUAAAAUGCUAAAAUUAUGACUUAAUACCAUUAAACUUUAAUUCUGAUCUUUACUUAAUGAUAAAAACAUACCAAAUAACAGUUUUGUUCUAAACAGUUAAAAUAACAAUGGAGAGGUUACACAGGAACCAUUUAACAUUCUAAGUAAAGCUAAAAGUGUCUGACCUCAUAAGUUCAAGUACAUGUAUUUUAAUAUCAUAAACACUUAUAACAUAAUGUUCUAUUUCUAAUUAACAAUAUCAAAUGAGUAUAUUUUCAGUUAAUAAAGAGUUAUUUUUAAACAAAAUUACUUCCAGUUUGUAUUUCAGUGAAUUAAGUAUUGACUCAUUAACAAAUUACUUCCUGAUUCUAUUUCAUAUCAUUUAAUCUGGGAACUGAAAAAUCAUAUAUCUGACAAAUGCACAAUAAAUCGAGGUACAUUUAACUGUAUUAUCUAUAUAAAAAUAUAACAAGAAUAGUAAAACAAACGAGGCACAUAAAAAAUAAAUGUCCUCAUUACAUCAUCCUACUAAGAGCAACAUUGGAGCCAUGGUAAAUUAUCUAAAUGAACAAACCUUUUCAGACUUAUAGUCCCAAUAGGAAAAAAGUUCUUAAGGAUAUAUAUCUAUAAUACUAAAAUUACGAGGUCCAAUUUGUCAGCCGUCAUCACGUAAAAACGAUGAAUCAAAAAAUUCAACUUUAUAUAUAACUAAUAUAGUACAAAGGUGUAGAUUAAAAAUUACACCACUCCAGGCCCUUUUGUUUUCCACGUAAUUAAUAUUGCCAAUAAUUAAAAAGUUCCGGGUCGAGUCCGAUACCGAUACCAAUAGUAUAUUCACCUGUUACCGAUUACCUUAUCUGUAUGUUCCGCAUCUGACAGGCGCACCACCAAACGGUGUAUUCAGGAUUAAUAUGCUUUAUAGUAUUACACGGGUCAUAAUCACAGGGUUGACACUACUUAAUUGUCAAAUUGUUACCUAUUGUAGUAUUUUAAUCAGCUGAUCAGUUAGACUUUCUAAGAUAACAAUACAAAUACUAAAAAAAUCUGGACUAAAAUAAGGCGUAUAGGUACAGUUUUCAAUUUGUUAUCGAAUCAAAGAAUUCAAUAUUUAUAACUAAUAUAGGAC